ensembl:lncRNA
ACAGGAUCUCUUUAACCCAGGGGUCCAACAGAAGCAGUUGGAGAGGGCAGGGCCUUGUUUCCUGUGGCCCUGGUACUGAGUUCAUCAAGGGUAGAGAGAUGUAGGGAGACUACACGGAAGAGCUCCAGGAUGGAACCGUGAUGGCUUAGGGAGAAUGCCUGAGGAUCACAGGAAGCUAAAUAGGUUAGUGCCUCCUAUCCAUGCUUUGCACCCAACUUUGAUCCGUGGGGCCUGUCCAUGUUGUAUUAGACCUUGCUGACGUUCCACCUUAGUGUCUGCUUAGUUGUGAACCUCUGGACUCACCUGACACUCUGGACUGAGGACAGACGACAACAGACUUUGGUGGUGCUUCACCAAGGUUCUUUAUGAGUCUACUAUUCGUUAUUGUUAAGAUGUAAGCUGUCAGUUGCUGCUCCAGCUUGCCACCUGCUUGCAGGCCACCAUGCUCCCCACCGUGAUGGUUGUGGACCCAUCCUCUGUAACUGUCCCAACUGUCAUUUUAGAUUCUGCACCAGAAGGAGACAGCGGCUUGAAAAAUAAAUCAGCCAACCAUCUUGAGAGUGAAUGUAACAGCUUAUUUUCUAAACUGAGUGAACUGGAGUAGAACUCACAGGCUUGCCUGCUUCUUCCUUGGAAUUGCAAAUCGCAUUAGAGAAGCUGCCCAGAAUGUCAGACUGCAAAGAAGAAAAAGGAUGACAAUCCCAUUUUCCUAUUAAUAGAAGAGGAGACUGGGCCCAGGCUGUGCAGAAACAGCAAGAGCAGCUGUAGUCACAGAUUGCUGGCUUCCAACUUGGGCCAUGAAACUUACCAGCUGGGUGACCCUCGUGAUUCUGUUAGCCCCUCUGUCAUGGAUUCCCCUUAUAACAUGGAAUACCUGCUGGGCCUUCCUCAUCUUGAAGGAACUAAUUCAUAUCUGUGGGUUGUAACUGGAAAACAUGUACUUUGCAUAAAGAGAAUGGCAGAGCACCAACGUGCAAAUGUAUGUGUAUGUGGUGUAUAUGUGUGCAUGUAUGUUCAUAUGUGUGUCAGGGCGGGGUACGUAUACAUGCUCAUUCGUGUAGAGGCCAGAAGUUGAUGCAGAGUGACUGACUCCCUGGAUCGCUCUCCACCACCAUAUACUGAAGAAGGGUUUCUCACUGAACCACCUUGCUCUGGGAAUCCUGUCUUUACUUCCAGAAGCUAGAAUUUACAAGCAGGCUGUCAUACCCACCUGGCUUUUUAUGUGGGUUUUGGGGAUUGGAACUCCAGUCUUCAACAUUGCUAGGCAAGAGCAUUCUCCACUGUGCCAUUCCCCCAGCCUUGGCUUCUAUUUUCAGAGUGGAUUUUACUUGCCAUAAUGAAAUUAUUACUUAGCAUGUUAACUUUAAUUUUUAAUUAAAAAUAAUACUUUAGAUUCCACUUAAAAGUCUGAUUUUCCACUUUCUCAGGAAAACAUGCAGUUCCAUUCAACAUCAGGCCUGCACUCCAUCAUACGAAGCUGAGGGACAGCUCUUGCCUUGGGUGAGCAUGUGUUUUCCAGGCUACUCUAGCCCCCACCGCUCACUGUUCACUAGCAGGACCUGCCCAAUGCAGACCAGCAUUUAAUGCCCUAACCACCUUGAAGGCAUGAACCCCAGUCGAGAGUUAUCCAGUCCCCUCCCAGGAUAUGUGCCAUCCCUUCUUCAUACAGGGAUCGGUUUUUGUCUGUAAACUAGACUCUGAUAGGCUUGUACUUACCUGAGCCCAGCUUCUGACAGUUAAUCCUCUGAGUCUUUUGUUUUCCAAAAUUCUGCAGCCUUUGGUGUUAGCAAAGAAAUCAGCCUUCCAAAUAUGAUUUCAUAAGAUUCAGAGUGACCCCUUGUUUAUCUGGGGAAGCACCAGGCACAGGACCCUCCCAUUCCUGCUCAUAUCCCCCCCUCCCAUUGUGAAGUCAGCUGUUUCCAUGAAUUCUUACUCAGAUGAUUGACAUAGACUUCCCCCAUGACAAUACCAUACCAACUGUCAGGCUACUUUGCUGAUAACUCAUCGACACUCCCCAUAAAAGUCUAAAGUGAAGCUGCCCGAGGAGAGCCUUUGACCUUCAUGCCAGGAAAGUCUCCCUGCUGCAAUAUAGUCUCAACACCUGUUUCCUUCCUUCCUUGGUCUCCCCCUCCCCCGACUCUUCCUUUUGUCCUGCACAGCUGCCUCUUCAAGUCUCUUCUGAAAAUUGUAUGGGUGACCCUUCAUAAAGCAUUUCAGAUGCAACUCAGCCACAGCCCUGGGAAGAAAAUGGUGGCAGGAAAGUCAAAGGAAGCUCUGCUAAAGAAAACAGGAGGCCAGAAUGGGGAUGCACAUCUGUGAUCCCCAGCUCAUGGGAAGCUGAGGCCUGAACUACCUGAGAGAAUUUAUCACAUACACAGAAACAGAAGAAAACUGUGGGGGCAGGAGGCUCAGCCCCAAAAGCAGGAUUUGUACACAUCUCAGGCUCUUCUGGGCACCGGAGCUUUUCUCGAUUUGCCUACAGGCAUCCAGAUAAUUGGGUUGUACCCAUUGUGUCAAGAAGUGCAUCAACCCUUUAUCAGACUGGACUUUCUGAUGCUUCACUGUGAGCUUGUGCACUUACUCUCAUCUUCCACCAGUCUUGUAGACUUGACAUUCUUUUCUAACUUCAAUGGGAGUUUCUCUUUGAACAACUUUAAUUACCUUGUCUAAUUAAGCUCGUUUCGAUGUGUAAGCCACCACUCUGUCUUACAGCCCUUCCGUCCUCAGACUCCAAAUAAAGCUCUUUGUUCUUUAUGGACUCCGUGUUUAAGUUGACUGACGAGUUUCC